GGCAGCGGUAGCGAAACCCCAUCAUGCUCUCGCUGUGGCAGUAGGAACACUCGACGGGGUGGAAGACUGUGCGGGAGAAAGAAAUGGCUGUCAUGUCAGCUGCUUCAUUUCCAGGAACCUGGAAGGGAAAUUCUGACAACAGGACUCCAGGACUGCUGACCCAAAAAAUCAUCACUGUACUUCAGCCCUCCACUGGAUGGACCCAGUUCCUAUUCUACAAUCAGCUUAGGGAACAAAUGGUGCACAAUUAUAAUUUGUAACUUUAGCUCAGUCUGUAUUUGAGUUUCUAUAUAGAAAUAAUACCUUAAAAAUGGCACUAAAUCUGGAAGACUAAAUCAGCACUUGGGAUUUCCAGUUGUCUACUGUAAACAACUAUAAUUUGUAAAUUCAGUUUUCUUGGGGUCAGAUAGAAGGCUCAGUGGAAACUGAAGGUUUUUGGUCAAAAAAUCUGGAAAAUGGUGUUCUGGACCUGACAUCAUAUGACUAAACAGAAAGUCUUCCAUUGCAGCUACAAGUAAACGAUGUAUUUGCUGUUGGGGAACUGGAAAUAAAUCAUACAAAAUGAGAAUCUGUUCAUCAAAAUACAUGGCAUAAAAAUGCCCUAUGGAA